GAUGAACGCUGGCGGCGUGCCUAAUACAUGCAAGUCGAGCGAACAGACGGGGAGCUUGCUCCUCUGACGUUAGCGGCGGACGGGUGAGUAACACGUGGAUAACCUACCUAUAAGACUGGGAUAACUUCGGGAAACCGGAGCUAAUACCGGAUAAUAUAUUGAACCGCAUAGUUCAAUAGUGAAAGACGGUUUUGCUGUCACUUAUAGAUGGAUCCGCGCCGCAUUAGCUAGUUGGUAAGGUAACGGCUUACCAAGGCAACGAUGCGUAGCCGACCUGAGAGGGUGAUCGGCCACACUGGAACUGAGACACGGUCCAGACUCCUACGGGAGGCAGCAGUAGGGAAUCUUCCGCAAUGGGCGAAAGCCUGACGGAGCAACGCCGCGUGAGUGAUGAAGGUCUUCGGAUCGUAAAACUCUGUUAUUAGGGAAGAACAAAUGUGUAAGUAACUAUGCACGUCUUGACGGUACCUAAUCAGAAAGCCACGGCUAACUACGUG
rnacentral:rRNA from 1 species